CGAUGGUUCAGUGGUAGAAUGCUCGCCUGCCAUGCGGGCGGCCUGGGUCCGAUUCCCGGCCG
rnacentral:tRNA from 1 species